rnacentral:rRNA from 1 species
AUUGAACGCUGGCGGCAGGCCUAACACAUGCAAGUCGAGCGAGCGGCGGACGGGUGAGUAGUUUAUGAAGAUCUGCCCGAUAGAGGGGUAUAACUACUGGAAACGGUGGAUAAUACCGCAUACUCUCGGAUGACCCCAUAGGGGAUGAGCUAGUCGGGGGGGUAAAGGCUCACCUAGGCGACGAUCUCUAGCUGGUCUGAGAGGAUGAUCAGCCACACUGGGACUGAGACACGGCCCAGACUCCUACGGGAGGCAGCAGUGGGGAAUAUUGCACAAUGGGCGCAAGCCUGAUGCAGCCAUGCCGCGUGUAUGAAGAAGGCCUUAGGGUUGUAAAGCACUUUCAGCGGGGAGGCGUUACCCGCAGAAGAAGCAACGGCUAACUCCGUGCCAGCAGCCGCGGUAAUAC